GGGUUGUGAGGUUAAGCGACUAAGCGUACACGGUGGAUGCCCUGGCAGUCAGAGGCGAUGAAGGACGUGCUAAUCUGCGAUAAGCGCCGGUAAGGUGAUAUGAACCGUUAUAACCGACGAUUUCCGAAUGGGGAAACCCAGUGUGACUCGUCACACUAUCAUUAACUGAAUCCAUAGGUUAAUGAGGCGAACCGGGGGAACUGAAACAUCUAAGUACCCCGAGGAAAAGAAAUCAACCGAGAUUCCCCCAGUAGCGGCGAGCGAACGGGGAGGAGCCCAGAGCCUGAAUCAGCAUGUGUGUUAGUGGAAGCGUCUGGAAAGGCGCGCGAUACAGGGUGACAGCCCCGUACACAAAAGCGCAUGUGCUGUGAGCUCGAUGAGUAGGGCGGGACACGUGGUAUCCUGUCUGAAUAUGGGGGGACCAUCCUCCAAGGCUAAAUACUCCUGACUGACCGAUAGUGAACCAGUACCGUGAGGGAAAGGCGAAAAGAACCCCGGCGAGGGGAGUGAAAAAGAACCUGAAACCGUGUACGUACAAGCAGUGGGAGCACCUUCGGGUGUGACUGCGUACCUUU
rnacentral:rRNA from 1 species